ensembl:snRNA U7 U7 small nuclear RNA
AAGUAUUACAGCUCUUUUAGAAUUUGUCUAGCUGGUUCCUAGUUUCACUGGAAGCACCCUC